UACGAAGGGGGCUAGCGUUGUUCGGAAUUACUGGGCGUAAAGCGCACGUAGGCGGCAUUCCAAGUUGGAGGUGAAAUCCCCGGGCUUAACCUGGGAACUGCCUCCAAAACUGGGAAGCUCGAGUCCGAGAGAGGUGAGUGGAAUUUCCGAGUGUAGAGGUGAAAUUCGUAGAUAUUCGGAAGAACACCAGUGGCGAAGGCGACUCGCUGGACAAGUAUUGACGCUGAGGUGCGAAAGCGUGGGGAGCAAACAGG
rnacentral:rRNA from 1 species